rnacentral:misc_RNA from 1 species
GUGAAUCAUCGAAUCUUUGAACGCAAAUUGCACUCUCUGGUAUUCCGGAGAGUAUGCCUGUUUGAGGGUCAGUUUAAAUAAAAAUCGGUGUGGUUGCUGCCUUUCGUGGUGACGCACCGGAUUUGGGUCGUCUUGCCUUCGGUUAAGUGACCUAAAAUUUUGCAUGAUUUUUUUUCUAACCGAUUUUAAUUGAUUUACGUUCGUUUUCGAAAUCCAAUA